GAGAGUUAAACAGUACGUGAAAUUGUUGAAAGGGAAACGAUUGAAGUCAGUCAUACCAACGGGAAAUCAACCUUUUGAGUUUGGUCUCGUGGGUUUUGAAGAGUUUAAAAGCCUUCGGAUUUUCGAGAUUGGGUUCUUCUGGUGUACUUUCUCGUACGGUUAGUCAACAUCGGUUUUGAAUGUCAUAAAAUGACUGGAGGAAUGUGGCUUCGAUCUCGUAUUGAAGUGUUAUAGCCUUUGGUAGAUGUGAUGUUUGAGACCGAGGAUUGCAACGGAUACCCUUCUGGGCUAUUCGUCUGAUCUCUGAAACGUUGCCUUGAUGUCGAAAGCUUGCUUAUGAUGUUAGGGUAUUACGGUCAAAAGGUUAGAACGGAUUAAAUUCGUUAAGGAUGUUGACGUAAUGACUUUAAACGA
rnacentral:rRNA from 1 species